rnacentral:rRNA from 1 species
GAUGAACGCUGGCGGCGUGCCUAAUACAUGCAAGUCGAGCGAACAGACGAGGCUCUUGCUCCUCUGACGUUAGCGGCGGGGGGGUGAGUAACACGUGGAUAACCUACCUAUCAGACUGGGAUAACUUCGGGAAACCGGAGCUAAUACCGGAUAAUAUAUUGAACCGCGUUGGUCAUUAGUGAAAGUCGGUUUUUGUGGCUCUUAUAGAUGGUUCUCAGCCGCAUUGGCUAGUCGGGAAGGUAAAGGCUUUCCAAGGGAACGAUGCGUAUGCGACGGGAGAGGGUGGUCGGCCGCCCUGGAACGUGGACGCGCACCAGAGGACUACGGGAGGGAGCAGUAGGGAAUCUGCGGCAGUGGGGGAAAGCCUUACGGAGCAAGGCCGCGUGAGUGAUGAAGGUCUUCGGAUCGUAAAACUCUGUUAUUAGGUAAGAACAAAUGUGUAAGUAACUAUGCACGGCUUGACGGUACCUAAUAAGAAAGCCACGGCUAACUACGUG